rnacentral:lncRNA from 1 species
AUGAGGUUAUAUCUAUUAAUAUUUUGUCAAUAUAAUUACUUUACUUUUUCUUUCGAAGUAUUGAAAGCACCAUUGAAAUUGUCCAAGACCAGAUUUGUAUUUCAUGUCCCUUUAUAUGAAAUGCAAGAUAAUUGUAUGGUCAGAAGAACUGAGGUACUUAAAAUAUAUAAUAUUUCAAGGCAAGGCAUACAGUGGAUGUUUGAUCUUAGUAGUAAUGUCAAUCUUUUUGUAAAUGGCAUUUUCAAACUCAACGUACUGACUGGGAAUUUGUACCCGUAUGAAAAGUGUUUUAUUUCCAUACAUUUCUGUCCAAGUAAGUAUCUUCCUAUAUUUGUAGUUACAAUUUUAAUUUAUUCAUAUAGUAAGUUAUUUCUUCAUGUAUACAGAACUUUAGAUGAUUUUUAUUUGAAUAACUAUAAAUAAUGUAAUCUUGUGAAUGUCAUUUUUGUAUAUUCAAGGUGUACAGCAUAGCGAUUUUACAUAUGUGUGUAAAAUAAUUAUACUAUAUAUAUAUAGUAUAAUUAUUACCACAAUCAGAUUAAAUAUUUCCAUCAUCCCGG